GAAAACUCCCUGUACCUCUGCCUGCUUCUCUGCUCAUGGAAGUUUCUCAACCCUCCUCCUCAGAACCUCAGCUAUGUUCUCUAGUUCAGACACCUGCAUGUGGUUGUUUUGCUUUGCUCUUUGGUACUUCAGUGUAUUUAGUUCUGUUUUGAAAGGGGAAAAAAUGAGGGAUAUUACAACUACCUAUAGAAUUUUAUUAUUUUAUCAUUAUCUUAUUUUUUCUUCUUUGAAAUAUUUGAACCAGAACAUUACAGCCCCAGACACUUGGAAAGCAUCGUCAUUGUCUUCUGGGCUGAUUUGUAGGUCCCAGUUCUCACCUCAAAGCUGAGACAAUACCUUCCCACCCCCAGCUUUGGUAGCUGCUUCCUUUCCAGCUCUGUGCGUGCUCCAGGCUGGAGGCCCAGCUCCUUCCCCAGGUAAGCACUGGAGUCAGUUAAACCUGGUUCCGCACAACCAAGAGUUACCCUGGCUCAUUCCUUUAACAUGAAGUUGCUUCUUAAUUUAUGGCCUUGAUGACAUCUCCUUUUGAUUUUAACUGUUUAUACAUAUUUCAACUGUGUAAGAGAGAGUAAACCACCUUCCAGAAGCCUGGACCAGCCUAUACCACUGAGGUCAAGAAUUCAGAAAGUGGAGCCAGCGUCUUGGUGAGUCAGACAUACUAUUUGCUGAGUAUCUGUUAUAUGUCAUCCUCACAAUUCUUUCAGGUAAGUUUUAUUUUUUUUACAAGAAAAAAGAGAGAAAAAAAUAAGAUUUGUUCCAUCUGUCUUUAGGAAUUUAAGCAUGGAUAAUCUAACUCAAGUAUGUAAGGGGAAGAAAUGUAAAUUCCACCUUCCUUUGUAAAAGAUUUCUUCCGAGUCAUUCUUAAAGGACUUUGGACUCUG
rnacentral:lncRNA from 1 species